UGGGGAAUUUUGGACAAUGGGCGAAAGCCUGAUCCAGCAAUGCCGCGUGUGUGAAGAAGGCCUUCGGGUUGUAAAGCACUUUUUGUCCGGAAAGAAAUCCUUGGCUCUAAUACAGUCGGGGGAUGACGGUACCGGAAGAAUAAGCACCGGCUAACUACGUGCCAGCAGCCGCGGUAAUACGUAGGGUGCAAGCGUUAAUCGGAAUUACUGGGCGUAAAGCGUGCGCAGGCGGUUUGCUAAGACCGAUGUGAAAAUCCCCGGGCUCAACCUGGGAACUGCAUUGGUGACUGGCAGGGCUAGAGUAUGGCAGAGGGGGGUUAGAAUUCCACGUGUAGCAGUGAAAUGCGUAGAGAUGUGGAGGAAUACCGAUGGCGAAGGCAGCCCCCUGGGCCAAUACUGACGCUCAUGCACGAAAGCGUGGGGGAGCAAAACAGGAUUAGAUACCCUGGUAGUCCACGCCCUAAAACGAUGUCAACUAGUUGUUGGGGAUUCAUUUCCUUAGUAACGUAGCUAACGCGUGAAGUUGACCGCCUGGGGAGUACGGUCGCAAGAUUAAAACUCAAAUGAAUUGACGGGGUCAUAGCU
rnacentral:rRNA from 1 species